ensembl:lncRNA
CUCUAAGCUCCUCACACAUCUUUACCUGCACAUGAGGAAAAUCACUCCUGUAGAAUGCAGUGGUUCAUCAGAACCUCUGGGGAUGUCCUGUGGAUUCUGUGGAUCCUGUGGGUUGCAGGGUGGGUCCUACCUAGACCAGGCUGAUCCUGGACCAUCCCACAGAUGCUCAAUCAGAUGUGGAUGUGGGGAGUGUGGAACCCAGAUGUUCAGAGGGAGAUGAUGCCACAUCUGGUCCAGCUGAUGGAAGGUCUUGAAGUUCUCUGACUGGCCUCGACUGAAGAUAGUCGUCUCACUGGAUUUAAGGUUCAGAUGCUCAGUAACAAACUCCACCAAUGAGCCAACAGGGAAGCUUUAGGUUUAUUAAAUGUUGCUAUGAAGGUAUCGCUGUUUUUCUUUGUGAAUGCAAUGUGCUCCAACUGAAACUUGAAUUAGAACUUAGAAGUAAAUCCUUCCAUCUAAAAGGAUUUAGUUGCAUUAAUAACCUCAUAACAUUCUAAUUUUUAUUCCAGUCUUGGUUGGAAAUAGAAUCUCUGUAUUGAUUCAGGUAAAAACUAAACUUCACAGCAUGUUGGAGCAAAACAACCAGAUGAAAACUGUGAUGGUGUUGGAUUGUCAGACCAUAAUGUUGCAGCUCAAAGCAGCUUUUCUAGCUCAGUUCAUUCUGACAUUCAGCUAUGAAUCAACACAGCAGAUGGUGAUCCAUGCUGUGGAAGUCUCACAUCUCCUGAUUUAAUGGAGCUGCUUUGCACUUUUUACACUGUUUAUUCACCAACACUUUAUUUAAUAAAAGUCCCAUCAAGUUUUCAUGAGGAAUGUGAUGUUUUAAUUUCUCUGUGAAUAACUGCAGUCUAAUGCAACAGCUGGAGUUGUAACAUCUGUCCUGAUAUUGAUCAUGAAGUAUUGAUCAGAAUACUUACGGUCAGCAGUCAUCCCUG